rnacentral:rRNA from 1 species
AUUGAACGCUGGCGGCAGGCCUAACACAUGCAAGUCGAACGAGCGGCGGACGGGUGAGUAAUGUAUGGGGACUGCCCGUUAGAGGGGGAUAACUGCUGGAAACGGUGGCUAAUACCGCAUAAUGGCGGAUAACCCUUGUGGGUUUGGCUAGUCGGUAGGGUAAUGGCUUACUUAGGCGACGAUCCCUAGCUGGCAUGAGAGGAUGAUCAGCCACACUGGGACUGAGACACGGCCCAGACUCCUACGGAGGCAGCAGUGGGGAAUAUUGGGCAAUGGGCGAAAGCCUGAUGCAGCCAUGCCGCGUGUAUGAAGAAGGUUUUAGGGUUGUAAAGUACUUUUAUUCGGGAGGCGGUACCUAACGAAGAAGCAACGGCUAACUACGUGCCAGCAGCCGCGGUAAUUC